rnacentral:lncRNA from 1 species
AAGACUUUAGGGUCUUAUCAUUUGGUAUCAGCUUCGAGGGGGAACAAGGCAGCCCGUUGCAGCCUUGCUUCCCUUCUUCCCCACCAACACUACAAGGCAACUCUUUCUCCACCGCCGUCGCUGUUUCCCCGGCCGCUCGACCACCAUCGCUGCUUCUCCCCGGCCAGCGAUGUUCAACCACCGGUCAACCACCACUCGACCUCCUC